rnacentral:tRNA from 1 species
GGGUAGCUCAUUGGUAGAGCUCCUGACUUGAGUUGCAGGGGUUACUGGUUCGAUUCCUGUCAUUUCCU